rnacentral:rRNA from 1 species
AUACGAAGGGGGCUAGCGUUGUUCGGAUUUACUGGGCGUAAAGCGCACGUAGGCGGAUUGAUUAGUUAGGGGUGAAAUCCCGAGGCUCAACCUCGGAACUGCCUCUAAAACUGUCAAUCUCGAGACCGGAAGAGGUGAGUGGAACUCCUAGUGUAGAGGUGGAAUUCGUAGAUAUUAGGAAGAACACCAGUGGCGAAGGCGGCUCACUGGUCCGGUACUGACGCUGAGGUGCGAAAGCGUGGGGAGCGAACAGGAUUAGAUACCCUAGUAGUCC